GGUUGAUCCUGCCAGUAGUCAUAUGCUUGUCUCAACGACUAAGCCAUGCAUGUCUAAGUAUAAAUGUUAUACAGUGAAACUGCGAAUGGCUCAUUAAAACAGUUAUAGUUUAUUUGAUAAUCAAAUUUACAUGGAUAACCGUGGUAAUUCUAGAGCUAAUACAUGCUGUUAAGCCUGACUUUUAGGAAGGGCUGUAUUUAUUAGAUAACAAACCAAUAUUCCCCGUGUCUAUUGUGAUGACUCAUAAUAACUGAUCGAAUCGCAUGGACCUUGUCCGCGAUACAUCAUUCAAG
rnacentral:rRNA from 1 species